rnacentral:rRNA from 1 species
GACGAACGCUGGCGGCGUGCCUAAUACAUGCAAGUUGAGCGAUGAAGAUUGGUGCUUGCACCAAUUUGAAGAGCAGCGAACGGGUGAGUAACGCGUGGGGAAUCUGCCUUUGAGCGGGGGACAACAUUUGGAAACGAAUGCUACUACCGCAUAACAACUUUAAACAUAAGUUUUAAGUUUGAAAGAUGCAAUUGCAUCACUCAAAGAUGAUCCCGCGUUGUAUUAGCUAGUUGGUGAGGUACAGGCUCACCAAGGCGAUGAUACAUAGCCGACCUGAGAGGGUGAUCGGCCACAUUGGGACUGAGAAACGGCCCAAACUCCUACGGGAGGCAGCAGUAGGGAAUCUUCGGCAAUGGGCGAAAGUCUGACCGAGCAACGCCGCGUGAGUGAAGAAAGUUUUCGGAUCGUAAAACUCUGUUGGUAGAGAAGAACGUUGGUGAGAGUGGAAAGCUCAUCAAGUGACGGUAACUACCCAGAAAGGGACGGCUAACUACGUG